AGAGUUUGAUCCUGGCUCAGAACGAACGCUGGCGGCAGGCCUAACACAUGCAAGUCGAACGCCCACUUCGGUGGGAGUGGCAGACGGGUGAGGAACACGUGGGAACCUACCUAGAGGUACGGAAUAACUUCGGGAAACCGGAACUAAUACCGUAUACGCCCUCCGGGGGAAAGAUUUAUCGCCUUUAGAUGGGCCCGCGUCUGAUUAGCUUGUUGGUGAGGUAAUGGCUCACCAAGGCGACGAUCAGUAGCUGGUUUGAGAGGAUGAUCAGCCACACUGGGACUGAGACACGGCCCAGACUCCUACGGGAGGCAGCAGUGGGGAAUAUUGGACAAUGGGCGCAAGCCUGAUCCAGCCAUGCCGCGUGAGUGACGAAGGCCUUAGGGUUGUAAAACUCUUUCAGCAGGGAAGAUAAUGACGGUACCUGCAGAAGAAGCCCCGGCUAACUCCGUGCCAGCAGCCGCGGUAAU
rnacentral:rRNA from 1 species